GCCUCGGUGGUGUAGUGGUCAAGACGCUCGCCUGGUAAACAGGAGGGCGUGGGCUCGAUCCCAGCCGAGGUA
rfam:Asian citrus Psyllid, Diaphorina citri - Florida Strain, whole genome shotgun sequence.